rnacentral:sRNA from 1 species
CACACUUACAAUUCUGAACUCGAUCCC